CCAUACGCAUGCGCACAAGCGAUUUUCGGCGAUUUUUCCCCGACCGUGUGCGUGUGUGCAUGCGCACGGGCGCGCACUCCCCCGCCCUCCGGCCCGCUGCGCGGUAAGUCUGGGGACCCCUGUUCCAAUGGGUAAGACCUUAUCUCUGCCUGAUCUCCUGGGGAGCCAUUGCCAGGAAGAGCAGGUGCUACUGGGUCAGUUGGCAUGUUGGAUAGCUCAAUCGGUAAAGUAUGAGCUCCAUGUUGGACAAAAGAUUCUUGCAUUGCAGAGGGUUGGAAUAGAUGACCCUUGUGAUCCCUUCCAACUUUACAGUUCUAUGAAAUACCAAUCCUGGUAUAAAACAGGUUCCUUUUUCAAACAUAAAGGGAUGUGCUGAUCUCAAAUUUCAGGGGUGUGGCUUACAGUAAGCCCUGCACGGAAUAAAAACCUUUUAAAAUAAAAUAAUAAGAAUAAGACUAAGAAUUGUAUAAAAUAUUUUUAUGGGUUUAUUGAUGAUUUCACCCCAACCACCUUUGAUGAUGUUAGAUUUCCUUUGAUGGCUCUGAAGGUGAUAAUGCUGCUUGCUAGGGACUCCCAAAAGCUAAUAUCCUUUGAUCAUUCGUAGCUGAUUUUUCGGAUGUGCUGGAGAUCACAGCUUCUAAUUAAAUCAAUGACCGCUGCUGCAGUCCCAUGGAGUUCUGACUGUCUCUUCUAGUCAGCAAAGAAGGAAAUGGGUCUUUUACCACCACUGCGCAAGCUAACAACAGUCUUCUAUGCUCACCAGGGCUGGGAAGCCUGAAGCCCCCCAUUGUUGGACUCCUAACUCCCACUAGUCCCAGCCUACAUGCCCAAUGGUCAGAGAUGAUGGGAGUUGUGGUCCGGUGAGAGCAUCCCCAUCUCUAGACCAAAGGCUCUUCAGAGCUAGAAGCAUCAUCCAGAAAGGAGGUUCCCUGAUGUCUCUCUGUGUGAUUGACUGCUCUUCUUUUAUUAAGACUCGUGGGUUGUUAAAGGAAUUUUUUGUGUGGUGCCUAAAACUAGAUGCCUGGGAAGAGCAUUUCAUAAGCAGUGCCACCAUUAAAAAUGCCUCUUCUCAUGAUGCCACACCUCUUGGGCUUCCAAUACAUGAGGUACAUGAGGCAGCUGACUUAGCCUGCCUCACAGGCUGGCCGUCCUUUACUGAAUCAGACCAUCAGGCCGUCUAGCUCAAUGUCUACACUGACUGACAGCAGGCCUGCAGUGUUUUAGGCAGAGAAGCUUUCCUAGCCCUGCCUGGAGAUGUCCGAGAUUAAACCUGGGACGUUCCGGAUGCAAGGCAGAUGCUCUGCCCCUGAGCUACAGCCCUCCCUUUAAGACACAGGAACAUAGGAAAUAGUUUUAUAUUGAGUCACACAAUAGGUCCAUCUAUUUCAGUAUUGUCUGCACUGACUGGCAGCAGCUCUCCAGGGUUUCAGGCCAGGAAUCUUCCCCAGUCUUAUCUGGAGAUGCCAGAGAUUGAACCAAGGACAUUUCAUAGGCAAACCAGGUUCUCUACCAUUGAGCUGUGGAACAUCCCAAAAGUUCCCUGGGCAAUUUACAAGUUUACAGACUAAAAUAAUAAAAUACAAAAAAACAACAACCAUGAAAAUAAAAUAGAAUAAAACUAGCAGCACAAGGUGUUCUUCCUUCGGGUGAGUGCUCCAGAAAUAUGGAGCCACUUCUGAAAAGCUAUAGCAAGGGAUGCCUUGUUCUGUUCAAAGUGAACAAUGUUGAAUAAAUAAUAUUAAUGGUGAUAUUUAUCUAUACCCAUUUUGUUUGCAUGCUCUGUAUAUCCUGGGCUUGAUAUUUUUGGAAUUGUUCUUUUUCUUUUCACAGUGAGUGAUCGGUGUUGUUACAGGAAGAAAGGACAUGCCAGUGGUCAGAGGUUUGGAGAAACAGUUUUAAAGAACAACUUUUAGAUGCUGGCAGAAACAAAUAAGUGAGAAAACCAUCUGCUCUCCACCAGCCAAAGGAACAAGAGCCACCAUUUGCUACUCAAACAAAAACACCAGCAAAGGGAACUGCGGGGAGUUCUGCCAAGGUACAGAGGCCUCCAGCAGGGCUUCCAGGACAAGCACCACACUCAAGGGGGUCAUUGGCACGGUGCUGAUAAUGGCUCCUGGCCCACAACACACACCAGAUCGAGGGCAGGGUGCUGCCUUGCUUGUGGUGACAUCACAUGCCUUUCCUCCUCCUCCUCCUCCUCCUGCUGUUGCUGCUGUUGCUGCUUUGGCCACAGUGCCCCUUUCCACAAAGCAUCUGUGGUGGCCACCUGCCAGUUACCCCAAAUACAAUGCUAUGGCGCACAUCUCUAUUACCUAUCUAGAUCUAGAUCUUACCCAUACAAUGAAAUAUAUAUAUCUGGACAGCCACAUUACAAUUUGAGUAACUAAAAAUGGCAGGCGGGAAGGGUCAUGGCUCUCAUUGAGGCUGGGCUGGGCAUGCAUGGGACCCUCAGCCACUGACCAGCCUUGAAGGCCUCUGCACUGCUGUCAGAGAAAAGGGGUGAAGAUAAAAUCAUAAGAAGAGCCUGGCUGCUGGAUCAGGUCGAAGAAGAAGAAGAGUUUGGAUUUGAUAUCCCAAUGUUCACCAGAUUACGAGUCUACCACUCUUAACCACUACACCACACUGGCUCUUGAAAGCCCACCCAUCUCACAGUGGCCAAUCAGAUGCCUGUGGAAAACCAGCAAGCAGGACCUGAGUGCAACAGCAACUCUCCCCACUUGUGAUUCCAGGCAACUAGUAUUCAAGAGGCAUGUUGCCUCCAAGCGGGGAAGUGAAACAUCACUUUCAUGAUUGGUAGCCAUUGUUAUUAGCCUUACCCUCUUUGAACCUGCCUAAUCCCCCUUUAAAGCCACCCAAAGAGAGCACAAUGAAUAAGGACAGAAGAAGAGCCUUCUGGAGAAAUCCAGGGGCUCAUCUAGUCCAGCAUUAUGGCCUCACAGUGGCCACAGCAGAUGCCUGUGAGAAGCCUGCAAGCAGGACAUCUUACAGAGGGACGAGGAGAGCUGUUUGAACCCUGUUUAGCUACCAAUGGUGUCCUGAUGAGGUCAGGAGUGGGCACAGGGCUUGGAGGGGAAAGCUAUUUUCUGAAAUGGGGGGUAGCUCACCUUGUCAUGUGCACAUUCCAGCUGAGCUAAAGGGCUUGCAUAUCUUCACUAGAACAGUAGAAGAUGGGAGAAAAGGCAUCAGAUUUUAUAUGCUGCAUUUCAGUGCA